GUUGAGCACAAAGCUAGCAACAUACUUUUAUGAUAAACAUGCAGUACAUGGGGUCAAAUGGACAGUUAGUUGACAAGGCUCACCUGAAGCGUGGAGAGUCCUUCAAACAUUCCUCAAAAUCCACAGUUAUCUUCAUUGUGUGCACUUUUAGGACUCGAUAGUAGACUUGGAAAUCAAAAAACGGUAAUCCAGGGUUGAGUCUUUCUGGCUAAUUAGCUUGUUUGCUAACGUCACUGUACAACCGACCAGCUCCACUCUGCUAGCCAGCUAGCCUCAACGGCCAGCAGCUGGGGUUCACAAGUCGCGCAAAUGUAACCAUAAAAGACCGCAAGUGGACCGUGAUGAUGUCCGAAAGCUGACGGAACUAUCUGGGACCCAGCAGUCGGUCAGUCCCGGGAGCGGAAAGUGUCGUCCUGAGGCACGGUCAUGGCAGACAGGGAGAGAGAGGCUUUUCUUCCAAGCAGAUACGCUGGACUCGGACAGAGAUCGUCUAUACAAGCAAGUCAUGAUGCGCCGCUACCGACUUGCAAGCAGAUGGCACACAUUUCUAAGUGAAACGCAACUCACCAACUCACCUUCCUGUGGAGGAUCCACGUUGAUGUCCUCGGCCUCCUCAGUCUCGUCCCUCAUCUCCUCGUCCUCAUCCUCGUCAUCCUCCAGCUCACUGGCGAUGAGCUGCCGGGCCAGUUUGAUGUUGAGGCCCUCGUUGUAGUGCUUUUUCCUCAUCAUCUGAAAAUGUUUCUUUUUGGCUGUACAGGAAGUAGAAAACCAACAAAAAGAUAUCCUACUUUAAA